rnacentral:rRNA from 1 species
UACGUAGGGUGCGAGCGUUGUCCGGAAUUAUUGGGCGUAAAGAGCUUGUAGGCGGUCUGUCGCGUCUGCUGUGAAAAUCCGGGGCUCAACCCCGGACUUGCAGUGGGUACGGGCAGACUAGAGUGUGGUAGGGGAGACUGGAAUUCCUGGUGUAGCGGUGAAAUGCGCAGAUAUCAGGAGGAACACCGAUGGCGAAGGCGGGUCUCUGGGCCGAUACUGACGCUGAGGAGCGAAAGCAUGGGGAGCGAACAGG